CCCACAGGAGUUCUGCCCUCCUCCCAGGCUUCUGGCCAGUGGAGUUGGAGAAGCGUCCCCGUCCUCGAGCCUGGGACACGCUCCGGGGCUCACAGAGACACUGACCCACACGCCCCCGUGGUUCGUAGCUCUGGGGGCGCUCCACUCCCUAGGGAAUGAAAGCGAGGAAGAAGGAAACUGUGUCGAGAAUUGCGAAGAGAGAAAGCAUAGAAAACCCACAUUAGAGGCACACCCAGAGCAGAAACCCUUCGGAGCAUCCCGACUUCCUCGGCCCGCGUGCAAUCCAGGCAAAAUUGAGGUUGUCUCUGAGCCGCCCUCCCUAAGCAGGUCGGAAAGCCCCCGAAUCAUCCCAGGUCCCGCCGCGCUGCACUCGCAACCUGGGGUGGAGGUCCCUCUAGUGGUUGGCACCAAACAAAAGUUCUGUCUUGUGUAGAGCCGAGGUCAGGAAGCAUUUCCCUGUGCCCAGCACCAAGGUCUGGGACCUUAGGUCCAAGAAAAGCGUUGGCAAUGUCUGACCACAGGAAUGGGUUCUCGAACUGGGGAGGACUGAAGCUGGAGAUCUGGUCCAACCCCUACCUCCAGCGUGUGACCUGAACCCGUUUUGGUUGUACUGCUAUGUUGUGGCCCUGCCCAGGCCUCCAAGGACUGGCUGCUGUUAAGCUGUUUAAAAUCCCUGUAGGCCUCAGAUGGCAGCGACACCAGGGACUCGGCAUAGUCCCCAGCUCUGGCAGGAGUCACCACAGCCCUGGCCUUUAGUUCUCUACAGGCUGGAGUGUCGACAAACUCCACAGGACACAACUUUUUCAAACCAAAUUUACCCUCGCGGUCUCAAAUGACCAGCAGGCCCAGGAGAAUUUUACAUGUGAACAGAACCUAACCCACCCUGGCAAAUAUGAGACGUGUGGUCACUGCGGGAACCUGGCCAGCAGCAGACCAAAGCACAGCCAGCAGGGGAAGGCUGGGGCCCGCAAGAGUUGUGUUACAACAGGACACCCUUCAGCUCUCUUUCACUUCCUUAAAAUAGCAGCAGAGAGACUUUUGUAGACCCAGGCUGCCACAGUUCACACAAGUUCAUGGCUGUUUCCAAAUCCCACCCUUUAUUGCCCUAGUGGACCCACUCCCCUUACCUCAGCCCCCAGAAACUGCUAGCCUGUUCUUAAAUUGAUACAGUUACCUUUUUAAAUGUUCUAAGUCACCGGCUCUGGAGCUUCUUUGCACUUUGGAACCAACUUGCGGGAAUGAACUUUAAAAAUACUGAUAUCUCGAUCCAUCCCCAGAGGUUCUGAUUUAAUGGUCUUGGGGGUGUGGCCACGGCACGAGGACUGUUAAAACUCCGCAGGUGAUUCUUAUGUGCAACAAAGUUUAAGAACCACUGAUGUAGGCCAUGUCGAUGUCAGUCUUCACUUAAAUCCAACAAGACCCCAGAGCUAAAACGUUCACCUGAAAGAAACCCCAUUCCCAGGCCUGCAUACUGACCUGCGCUGGCUCACAAGACGCAAAGUGGUCCCUUAACAGGAGCUUCGUGGAGAAAAUGUCUUGACCUAAAAGAGUGAUUCGAGCUGCAGGGAUUUAAGAGAGACAGGGCCUUGCUCUGUCACCCAGGCUGAAAUGCAGUGUUGCAAUCAUGGCUUGCUGUAGCCUCAAGCUCCUGGACUCAGGCGAUUCUCCUAUCUCAGCUUCCUAAGUAGCUGGGACUACAGGGCUCAGUGUGGUCAAAAGAAGACUAUAGAAUCCAGGAUGAAGAGAAGGAACACAGAAUAAAAGGACGUCUCAGCAGGAAGUUCUGUGACUACUAUGUCAAAUGAUGCCAUACAAUGAAGCACCUUGAAAGAUUGCUGGGAUAAGCUGACAGCAUGGCAGCCAAAAUAGUGACCCCAGGCUUGCAGGAAUUCUGUGCUUUCUGGAGGAAAUGGUCAUGGGUUUCCCAACCUGCCUUUUAAACUAAGGACCAAGCUGAAGAAGCCCCUGUCUUCCAGCGCAUGUUAUUCCCAUGACAGAUGCUAAAAGUUCAAGGGGAGAGCUACAAGAAGUGCGUUUUCCUGUGGCUACUUUCAUGUCUGGAUGCAAUGCCUAGACCUGCAUCCAUCUUGCGACCAACCUGAAGAUGAAUAGAAAGGAAGGAAGGAUGGCCCAAUAGCCUGGGAAGAACUGGUGUUCCUGAUACCAUCAUUAACCACAGAAUCUACAAUCCCGGAACCCCCCAUCCUUAACCAUGGAAUCUACAAUCCUAUCUCUAGACCCUUUGUCCAGAUGCUACAGUUUCUUUGUUCAAUCUAGUUUGUGUCAGGAUUUCUGUUCAUUACAUCAAAAGUAUUCUAAUACUUGUAGCAAAGCAACUGGAGAAGUUUUCACUUUGUCUUUAACCAAAGAAGACUUCCAGGAAACAUCUCCUCAGUGGGUUUCUCCCCUCACCACUGGAUUUUUCUCUCUGUACUAGUGCUUUGAUUUGUUUUAGGAGUCUCACGUCUCCACCUGUCAUAUUUCCCUGGCAGGCUCAUUUCUGCUAAUGCCCACAAUAUGUGUAUCAAUGAGCUUUCAACGUUAGGUACACAGCUCUUCAGGCAUGUCUAGCACAUUAAUCUGUCUGCUUCUAAGUGGUCUGUUGACAUGUUUGGGUGCCAGUUAUAUCUACAAGGCUGUGAUCAUUGUCCUGGGUUAUUCUGUUUGUUCUCUCUGCAGGAUGCAUUAGGACACCCAAGGCCAUGGCCAUCACUUACAUCUAGGAUUCAAUCUUAUCUCCUGUGAAUCACUGGAAACCUCCUGUCCUGGAACCCUUUUUUCCACAUCCCACUGGAUGUCAUUCAUAGCAACUGGUCUUGUGGGUUGUCUAUUUUAUUGUGUUGUCUUACUCUUCCUCCUGGUAUCAGUUUUUAAAUCCUCUUGAUGAGAUCAGCUGAUCAGUCGCUAAGCAACAUAGUCCCCCAUGUCUUUGUAAGAUUCUCUGCACUCAUGGCUAGAAUGAUUUAUUCUGGUAUCUUAAGCUGUGUUUCAGAACCUCAUUCUAAAUAUCAACCUAUUCUUGUAAGUCCACUACUGAUCAUCUUUAGAUAUUCUUCAGUCUUCCAGAGUUCCAAAGGGCAGUAGGAAGAAGCAAUGAAAAUACCACCUGUAUUCUCACAUCUUUCAUUGUUCCACUCAAAAAAUACCACCAUGUUCACUUCUGGUGGAACGUUUAUGUCCAUGAGAAGCAGUGGCUUUGAAGAGUUUUGGCAGACUAUGGUGCCUUACUCAACAUUGGGAAGGUAUCUUGCCAUCAGACCUUUUGGGUCUCCAUGAAACUUCUUAUACCCCCUCUAGGAAAAGUCACUAACUGUGAUCUUACUGAGCUUCUAAACACAGCAUUUUUUUUACGCUUAAGUGAGCGGGGGUCCUCCUCAUUUGUGCUUCUCUUCUUGUAAGGGUGACUUCCUCCCAGUAGGAUGAAUCUCAUGCCUAUUUGUGUUAUUUUGCUAAUUCCAGCUUCUUUUCUACUCAGGGGGGUUCCGACUCUUUUAAGGUCUCAUCUUCAGCACUUCUAAACUGUGGGAAACUAUGGGAAACAAAUGGAGUGACCAAACACACCAUUCAUCACUGUGCUUCUGGACAGCUGCAAGUCCAUACGUGUUCCGAUAAUUCAAUACAAGAAAGAAGAUUUGCUUGGGAAGGUCUGAAUGGCCCUAGCUUUGUUUGUUAACCAUAACCUCUACCAGCUGGAAACACAAUGCCCCACUAAUACUAACAGUGCCUGCUUGUCCAAACAGCAUUCUGGCCACUUACAGCAAUUGACACAAAUUCUAACAGGUCUGUUAAUGUUUUUCAGAUCCUAAACUUGUAGUAGAUUUUUAUGUUCUCUGCAAUCAGUUUUGCUUCAGCGGCCCUGCAGGUGUUUAUGCGUGCUGGCAUGCUAAAUCUCACCAUUCAAAAUAGUUUAUUUUUUACAACAAAAUCUGAAGAAUAAUUUCUUCAUUUUGUCAAAAAAUACCCCAUUCCUAUUAUUUUUCUCUUCUUUAUCUUCACAGGUAGAUGGGGCAAAGCAUUACCUUGUGUAAAACUGCUGCUAAAAUAUAUUCCUAGUGAGAAAGGUCAACUUGUGGGCUAAAGUCCUUGUCAACUCCUGAUCAGUUUUCACUUAGGGCACAGCAGUCUGCCAUUCACCAUUGGGAUCUCUGUGUGUUUCUUCUCUCUUACGAAAGGAGAUAUUGAGUGCUCUAGGACUUGGCUGCCUACAUCAAGUAGAGGGGGACCCUCAUGAUUCACUAAGGGGCCUCAGUUCUGAAUAUUUCUCAUUAUUCAAAAAUGCAAAGCCAUUGUCAUUACGUGGCAGUUUAUUGGAACCAAGGGAGGAAUUGGUCCCUUUUCAUGUUCUUCUCCUAAAUAGAGAAAAGGUAAUUAAAACUUGGAGCUUAAUAAGGGCCAUCUCUAUUUGAACAGCCUAAUACAAAUCCAUCCUCAAUACCUUUUUAUACCUUGUCUGAACUGACUUCUACUGUGUACUCCACUGCAUGGGAAUUCUGGAACUUUAGAACGAAGGGAACUCAAUUCAUUCUAUAUAUAUCUCAUUCAUUCAUUUUUUUUCAUUUGUUCACCAAAUGCUAACUCAAUACCUACGUAACAGAGAUAAUGUUCUUAUUGUCUGUAAAUCAGAAAAUGCAUGCAUUGAAUAAACGCCAUAUAUUCUUGGAAGCUGAGGGCUGAUAACUCAAGGUAAAUGAUCAGCUAGUCUCCUAUGAAAUAAGUAUCUUAUUUCAUGUUACAUGUAGAAAUGACCAUGUAACUUUAUCUUAAAGCCAGGCCUUAUUGAGAAAAAGGGGAUCCAAAUUCCAAAUGUUUCCUUACAUGUUGAGAGGAAACCUUGGAGGUCUGAGCAUGAGUCAUAGGUAGAGAGAAAUCAUGCUAAGAUAUAUAGUGUUUCCACCAGACAGGAAGAGGAAGCAGAGACCCUUUGGCAGAAGAGAUACAGAGAAGAGAGGAGGAGAGGUUCUGGCUUUACCGUUCAGGCUUGAAACCCCAAGUUUAGAUGGAUUGAGGGGGAAGCUUAAGGCAAACGUGACCCCUGGGCCAACGCAGGCUAGAGGAACAAUGUAGAAAUGACCAUGUAACUUUAUAGGCAUGAAGAAGAUGCCUGUGAUGGCACUGAGUCUCCUGUGGCUCCCUUGUGUACCCAAAUGCCUGAAGGAUGUGAGAGUAUUGGUUGUUAGAAUUUCAGGGAAUUCCACCAAGUGGGGAAUGACUCUGUAUUAAGGGCUGCAAAGAAAAGCUCCCAGGUCAAGCAUUGAGUGGGAGGUGCUACCUGCCCUCAGGGAUCCACAGGGACUUCAACAGCUGAUGUGGGGUCUCAUCAGCCUCAAGGUGGCCAAGUUUCUAUGCUGAGACUAUAGCCCACAGUUACAACAGCCAUGAUCCUCAGCAGCAGAGGUAGUGGUGAUGAAGUCUGAUGCCCAAAGACAAGCAGAACAAUAUGCACAGUUCCAGCCAAUGCCACGAGGUAGCCUUUGUACUUCCCUAUACCUAGCUGGGAGGGAGGAAGGAAGGAGAGAAGAGACUCCUAGGAAGAGGAGAAAAUAAUUAUCCCAAAGAGACUGACAUAACCUGGAAAAGACCAAGAACUACUAAUUAGCAAGAUAAAGUUCACUUACCUCUUCCUGUUUCUUACCAAGAUGGUAUGUAUCCUUUUAGAUAAUAAAUAAAUUUAUGUUUUCUUGCCCUAUUUUAAUGUGAUUUAAAUGUUUCUUGUUUUUUCUAUUUUCAUUCAUAACAAAAAUUUUGUUCUCAGAGACACUGAGACAUGAGACACGAUGCUGGACUACAUGGGGCGGGGGGCACCUCAUAAUAUGGGCAAGGUGCUGCAGCAGCAUGUAGCCCUCCACGUCCCGACUGCUCACUUCUCUUUUGCCACCCCUAACGCACGUAUUAGGCUUUUGCUAUGUUCAUUUACCUAGCCCAUAAGCCACUCCUUCAGAGAGCAAUGCAUGGAAUUGGCAGCCUUGGUUCCCCACCAAUUGACAGGGGUCUGGAAUUCAGGUGUUUCCAAAGACCUGCAGUCUUGGGUGCCUUAAUGCUUGCUGAGUAGCAGCACUUUCUAGGACUUUCCCUAUUGUAUGUUUCAGUCCAUGCUUUUCUUUUUUUCUUGUCUCAGUGUUCUUCCCUGCUAGUCUGGUUCUCAACAAGACCCAAGCCCUGCAACACACCCAAAUCCCCUUGAUGAGAACCUGAUUUCCUAUGUGGCUUUUCCCAGUCACCCCAUGCUCUCCCCACUCCCAUCUUUCCUGGUGAAUUGCUCCUUUCCUAAAUCUGUUGUGAAUAACAAUUUGGCCUUAGUGCUAAAGCCUCUCACUCCUCACUUUAAAUUCCUUUGGGAAACAGUCAUUCAUGUUCAUUUUAGACAAUUUCCCUGUCCUGUGAGGACUCUUCUCAAGAAGUCUACUCCCAAAACUCCUGCUGAGGUAGGUCCAGGUCACAUUUUCAUGACCCCAGACCUACAGCAAAUUGCACCAGGAUGGACACCUAAUCAAAUCUUGGGCAAUCAGAUACAUUCUCCUGGGCAUAUGUGGAUCUCCAAGACUCCAGAUAGGCCCUACUGGACACUUGAUAGAUAAUAUCUAGAGAUGGUUUACACGGGCUGCUUGUGUAACUACAAGUCUGGGUAACUGACAGUUGCUGUAGUCCUUUGACUCUAAGUUUAUACCCUUCUAGAGGCUGAGGGUGAUAAAUGAGGGCUCUGUUUAUGUCUGGGCAUAUUGUACCAUAACUGCCUUCUGGUUAUACUUGGCAUUAUGUAAUUCUGAGUUGAAGAGGGGCAGGAGGCUCAAUGAGCUGGUCCCA